GGACUUGAGACCAGAAAAGGAGGGAAGGGAAGGUGUAGAAAAAGAGAGGCGGUGAUGGUCAGAAGACUGGGCUGAGCCAUGAUGGGAGAUGGCUGGAGCAAAGAGGGCCUGAGAUAGAGUUACAGAUGAUGUGGAAGCCAUUGUUUUCUACCCCCUUCAGCGACGAUCCCUUCACUUCACUUUGCUUUGCUUAUGGAGAGAGAGAGAAUAUUUAGGCUUCUAUUUAUUUUUUGAGAGAGAGAGAGAGAGAG
rnacentral:misc_RNA from 1 species